AUUGAACGCUGGCGGAAUGCUUUACACAUGCAAGUCGAACGGUAGAGGGGGCAACCCCUUGAGAGUGGCGAACGGGUGAGUAAUAUAUCGGAACGUGCCCAGUCGUGGGGAUAACGUAGCGAAAGUUACGCUAAUACCGCAUACGAUCUAAGGAUGAAAGCGGGGGAUCGCAAGACCUCGCGCGAUUGGAGCGGCCGAUAUCAGAUUAGGUAGUUGGUGAGGUAAAGGCUCACCAAGCCGACGAUCUGUAGCUGGUCUGAGAGGACGACCAGCCACACUGGGACUGAGACACGGCCCAGACUCCUACGGGAGGCAGCAGUGGGGAAUUUUGGACAAUGGGCGCAAGCCUGAUCCAGCAAUGCCGCGUGCAGGAUGAA
rnacentral:rRNA from 1 species